CUGGAUUUCAUUUGCCUUUAAUUAAACACAAAGCUGUUACAUAUUUUUCUCUUCUAAUAGCUGCUGGAAGUCUAAGCAUAUGGAAACGAUACCUAUGAAAAUCAAAUGGACAUUUUGGGCUUUGUGGAUCAUUAAAGGUUUACACUUAAAAAUUAUUUUUUAAUUAAAAAAAUAAAAAUUAAUUAAAGGAUGACAAAUACAUUGGGAUGUUACUCAAAAUGAUAAUCCUGUCUGCAGCUCACUUCAGUUAUUCCUUGACUAGUUCUCUCACCGUCCAUAGAUUUUAUCCUCACCAGGAAAUCAUGGCACACUUGCCUAGAUAUCACUGUGCACAUGGGAAAACACUCGCAACGGGCUACAACUGUGCAGAUGACCAUAACUCUUCCUCACCCUGUGAGGAACUCUAGUUUUCUGCAGAACACAAUUUUUCCAUCAGUGUGUAGGGGCAGCAAAGUGACAAUGCCAAAUAUAUAAGGCAAUUUAAAAUUAUUUCACAAAGGUAUUAAAAACAAACACCCACAUUGUGGUUCAAAUCCAGAUGAAGUACCUGGUCCCAGAUGCCAAUGUCCAAACUCAUAAAAACAUAUGACAUGGGCCUGGUGCGGUGGGGAAAUAAUUAUUGUUUCUUUUUUUCUUUUUAAUUUGACACACGGUCUCAUUCUGUCACCCUGGCUGGAGUACAGUGGCAAGAUAACUCAUUGCAGCCUGGACCUCUUGGUCUCAAGCCAUCCUCCACCCUCAGCCUCCUGAGUAGCUGGCUCUACAAGUGCACAUCACCAUGCCUAGAUACUUUUAAAAAUUUCUUUUUAUAGAGACUGUGUCUCACUAUGUGCCCAGACUGGCCUUGAACUCCUGUGCUCAAGUGAUCCUCCUGCCUCAGCCUCCCGAAGCUUUGGAAUUACAAGUGUGAGCCACUGCCCCUGGUCCUGCCGUUAUUUCUGUAUUACUGCUCACUAUUUCCUAACUCAUGAGCAGUUCUUGAAAUAGUAUUAAAAAAAAAGAAAUAGUAUUUAAGACAUAUUACAUGGUGGAACUAUAAAUGAAUUCAUGAUGAGAUUGUCACUUACUGAAGCCCGAUCCUUUAUUCUGCAUUCCCUAUUAUCUACCUUGUCAAGUUUGAUACUAUACUUUAUUCUGCCUUGAUAUUAUCCAAAAAAAAAAUUUUUUUUUUUUUGAGAUGGAGUCUUACUCUUGUCGCCCAGGCUGGAGUGCAGUGGCGCAAUCUUGGCUCACUGCAACCUCUGCCUCCCGGGUUCAAGCGAUUCUCCUGCCUCAGCCUCCCAAGUAGCUGGGAUUACAGGCGCCUGCCACCACGCCUGGCCAAUUUUUUGUAUUUUUAGUAGAGACAAGGUUUCACCAUGUUCACCAUGUUGGCCAGCGUGGUCUCGAACUCCUCACAUCAGGUGAUCCACCCGCCUCGGUGGGUCCUGGGAUUACAGGCGUGAGCCAUUGCUACUGGGCUCCAAUAAAGUUUAAACUUGUUUUAUUAGUUAUCUUUUUAUGUCUUUUGCUAGACUUAUUUAAUACUUAAAUUUAUAAAACCGUUACGUAAGUUUUUGUCAUUAUGAAUAAACAAGAAUUUAUUAGGCUGGGCGCGGUGGCUCACAAGUAUCAUUUUUAAAGUCACCAUGUUGAUUUGGCAAUUUUCAAUAUUUUAAUACAUUCUCCCAGUAAAUAAAAAACAGAGAUUGACAUUUGUUAGUAUACAACUUAUUUGAAAAACUCAGUUAAAUAGGCUAUUUCUAAGAAACAUUUUAUCCAUUUGUAUAGAAUCCAACUUCUUUAAAAACACAAACACAGUAAAUAGAUAUUUCUCAGAAACAGAAACUUUUGUUUUAAUAAUACAUAAUCAAACAUAAUAACUGAACACAUACUGAGAGAUUGUAUUCAGCUCUAUGUGACAGGAAAUUUCCAGAGUUUACCUGAUAAGCCAGUAUUGUCUUUCAUUUUCUCAUGAAAGGUAAGAUUUAUCUCACGAAGAAUACUAGGUCACAGUAGAUGCAGUAGGGAAACAAUCCCCUGUGCUUUUUUAAAAAAUUAUUCUUUAUUUAUUUAUUUUUGAGACAGAGUCUCGCUCUUUCGCCCAGGCUGGAGUACAGUGGCACGAUUCCAGCUCACUGCAAGCUUCGCCUCCCAGGUUCACGCCAUCCUCCUGCCUCAGCCUCCCGAGUAGCUGGGACUACAGGCGCCCGCCACCACACCUGGCUAAUUUUUUGUAUUUUUAGUAGAGACGGGGUUUCACCAUGAUAGCCAGGAUGGUCUCGAUUUCCUGACCUCGUGAUCCGCCCACCUCAGCCUCCCAAAGUGCUGGGAUUACAGGCGUGAGUCACCGCGCCCAGCCGCAAUCCCCUGUGUUUUUAUGGUUGUACCAUUGUAUCUGUCAUGGAAGCAGGAACACAGAAGCACAAGAAAUACUGAGACAAUGAGGUAUUAAGAUAAUGAUAAUAUGGCCAGGCAUAGUGGCUCACACCUGUAAUCCCAGCACUUUGGGAGGCCAAGGCGGGCAGAUUUCAGGAGUUUGAGACCACCCUGGCCAACAUGGUGAAACCCCGUCUCUACUAAAAAUACAAAAAUUAGCUGGACAUGGUGGUGCAUGCCUAUAGUCCCAGCUACUUGGGAGGCUGAGGCAGGAGAAUCGCUUGAAACCGGGAGGCGGAAGUUGCAGUGAGCCGAGAUCGUGCCGUUGCACUCCAGCUUGGGCAACAUAACAGGACUCUGUCUCAAAAAAGAAAAAGAAAAAAAACCCAAAAAAACCUAUUUUCCAAUUCCAACCCAGAAGCCAGGUCAAAGAGCAAACAGCAACAGAUGAAAAAAAUAGUUCCCACGAGACUACACUCCUCCAAGAAUUUGCAUGCAUACGUAUUUCUACCAACUACCUAUUAGUCCACAAGCAAAAUGAAGAAGGAUUCUCUGACCAAUAGCAUAAAGCCACUGAAUUACUUGCCUGUAUAAGUAGAAAGUAUUAACAUUAAAAAUAGUUUUUCCCUGUAAAAUGGAAAGGUGGAAUAAAAGUAACAUGGUAGUAAUAUCCAGCUUGGAACACACAGGGCCAGUCAGAAAAUGUCAACAAACACCCAUAUUUCAUUGGUCUAAUGGCCUCACACGGAGUAACAAAAAAAAUAUAUAAAAAUUAAAGUUAAUGCAUAUUAAAAUACAUCAGAUCACCCAUGGGUGCAAUACACUUCUAAAUGAAAAGAGAAACAUUAGUAAUUUAUAAGAAAAAACCAUUAUGUAUCAAAAUUUCAGUACUAUAGGUGAGAGAGGACUUACAGGAUUCUCCCCUCAACUUUACCUGCAAGAGAACUGCAAAUUCAUUUGCUAGAGGCCCACUUUUAGGAUGUGGUCCUGAUAAAGGCAAUACCAUAUUUAUAAACGUCAUGAGAUUCUUCUCCUGCCAUGAAUUUUCUUUUUUUGGAGAUGGAGUCUCGCUCUGUCACCCAGGCUGGAGUGCAGUGGUGCCAUCUCGGCUC
rnacentral:lncRNA from 10 species